rnacentral:snRNA from 1 species
GUUUCUUAGGAGAAAUAUGAUAAAAUUGGAACAAUACAAAGAAUAUUGCUUGGCCCCUUCGUAAGGAUGACACACACAAAUCAAGAAAUGGUCCAAAUAAAA